CUGUAAUUCUGGAUGAAGGCGGUUAACAAUAACAUGAUUUUUUUUUUGCAUUGUUCAAGGAUUUGUAAGACGGUAACAUCGCGGGAAGAGUUUUUAGAGAGACAAUCUCCCAACAGCUUCGACCUUCUCACCCAUAGAUCUUAAUCCUUGAACAACAUUCCUGAUAAGGUUUUAAUGACUCCCGGUCAAAUAAACUGAUUUUCCACUUAAACAUUUGAUGAAUAAAUUGAACAAAUCCUUUUUUUACAGUAAGAAGUUCUUGGAAACUUUUAAUUUCAUAUCGGAUUUAUUCAAUGGCACAACAUACAGAACAUCACGUUGCAACAGAAAUUUCGCUUCCAUUGAUUACAGAAAGAACAACACUUCAAUGAACUUGAACAAUGUACUAAUAGGAAAAGUUUUAACACAUUUUAUUAGUUGGUUGGUAAUGAACAGGAUGUGUGAACUUUUGAUGAGUACACACUUCUUGUACUUUUCUAUCAGUGAACUACACAAAUGUAUCCUCCAUAACCACGGUCACGGCCACCAUAAUUCACAUAAUGUUCAAAUAACUGAAAGUGACAUCUAAUUUAGUUUUAUAGAAAUUCAUCAUCCAAUUACUUUUUUUAUUACUAAAAGAAAUAAUAAUUUCACUGAAUAAUUCUUAAUCUUCUCUUUAAAGUUCUUAAUAUAAUUUUAAUUGAAUUAAAAGUAAACUCAUCAACGUACCAAACUGCAGGGAGCUUCCUUCGGGGAAUUGCAAAUAGCGACGUUUCCGGUAAAGUAAUGUUUCCUGUGAAUUUUGCUUUGUAUCUUCAAUGGUUCUGUUUAAAGACUUGUAUUCAUCCAAAUGACUUUGUGAACUAGUAACAUUUUGUUGUGCAAUUUGAUGGAGCUCUAU